CUCCCUUACACUCCCUCACACCUCCCAGAGCCCCUUUCAUCCCCUCACAGAAUCACAGAAUGGUUCAGGAAGGACAAUUUCAGACUGUCAGAAGGGCAUCCCUAAAGGGGUAGCUAGAGGGCACAGACCUGCAAUAAUGAGUGCAACUGUCUCUCCUUCCCUAAAAGGGGAAAAAAAAAAAGACUGAAAUGAAGAACUGAAAUCUUCUCUCAGCUUUGGCUGUGCUACCACAGCAUGGACAAGCAACUUCCAUCACCGAUUUCAGACAGUCUGGACUUGGGAGCCCAGUCUGAUCCAAGCAGCAGUGGGGCAAUACUGGAGCAGGAGAAUAGAAAGUCCAUGGUCUGGGAAGGCACAGAGGUAAACCAGAGAAGAGGAAAAGACAGGAGCCUGGGGCCAGAGAGAAGAGAAGGCUGAUAAGGAGUUGCAGCUGAUACAGGAGACACGGGCCAGGCAAACAAAUGUCUUUUCCAGGAAAUGAUCACAAAGUGUCCAAGAGGGAACUUACCUCAUCCAAAGGCUUUGUAUCAGACAGUCCUGACCUGAGCCUUUGAGACAUAACCCUGAUGGCUGAGGUCUAAAGGAGAAAGCAAACCUCAUGCAGAAAGCUCUAAAAGGAUGGCAGCCUGCAAAGAGGAAGCAAACAGCUGAAGUCUGGAUGUAGGGAAAAGAUGUAACAGUUAUGUGCAAGGCAGGCAUCUGAAAGACACUGGAUUUACAUUUAAGCUUUUCAUAUUUUGAGAAUUUCUGUUUAGAAAAAAAAAAAAUGUGAAAAGGGAGGAAAUACACAGUUACUGUAACACAAAAAAACCCUGAGCCAAUUCACUAAGCCAAAACAACCCUGGAGGGACUGCUCUGUCUGAUCUUUCACAGAUUGUAGCUUUAGGGCAUGAAAUACACACACACACCAAAAAAAAAAAAAAAAAAGAAAGAAGGAUCCAUAAUUAAGAGGAUCCUUUGGGAAAAUUUUGUCUUGGGGUAGAAAUCACUGAAGUAGAGGAAUAAUGGUCAAACAGGGACAGCUUGGUAGAGGCGACAGAAGAGAGAAGGACCUCGAGUUGGCUGAAGCACUGUUCAGACUUAAAGCAUCGGCAUUUGUAUCCUGGGAGGAGACAAAGGGCUCGGAAUCUGCCCCCGAGGCAUUAGUGCUGGAGACAAACCAACCUGCAGUUUGCUUAUCCUGAAAUAACAGAGGAAGGGUUCAAAUCAGUUUAUUUUGUUUAUUGCUUGACUUCAGGAAAACUGUACCUUGCUAUUAUGUGCUAUUCUGUUUAUCUUCUCCAGCUUUAACAAGCUGCUGUCAUUUUAAACACUGUGAUGGGAAAGGAAAUUUCCCCAGGUGUCUGAGCUGGGGCUCAAACCAAUCUUCACAACAGACCUUCACAGAUAAUCAAAACCAGCCCUUAUGGCUGCCAGUCAGGGCCUUCCAGAAGAAAAGGCUACAGCUGUGUUAAGAGCUGUGAAAGCAAUACCUGUCCCCCAAAAAACUGCCCCCAAAAGUCCAAAGUGUGGGAAAUGACACAGGGCCACAAUUCUGCCCAGGAUUAAACUUUAUUCCAAGAAGUACAAGAAAACAGUGCUAGUUCAGCCCAGGUAGACAACCAGAAGAUCUUAAUGGAACAGGAGGGAUCCAGCCACAGGCAAAUUUUAGAAAAAAAGAGUUUAGCCCAGUAGGAUCUGGAAGCUGUAAGUUUUUCCUUAAAAAUAUAAACGAACAGCCUCAGAGUAUAGCUUCUGCAAAGUGCAAUAGUGUAAUUGCCCUGUGACAAUAUAUUGUUUUUUUCUGACAAAGCUUCUUUUGUGUCCUUGUGUUUUUUCUACAGCAGAUAUUUAUAAACGUUGUAGUCACAAAGCUCCUAAAAGCACUUCCUGUACAUUACAUAAAGGCCUGUCUCCCUUCCAAAAUCACAAGGACCUGUUCACAAGCUUCCUAUUACUUUUGAGACCUUUAUUUUACAGGGUAGAUAGAUAUGUUACCAUAUGCUAUCCACGUGCUCAAGGAAAACACUUGCCCAUAGGAGAGGGCUGGGGGGGACAGACACAGGUAGAUAGCAAAUGAGAUAGUGACUGCAAGUGGUUUGUGUUGUCAGUGGUGGUUUUGUUGUUGGGUUUUUCAGAUCUUCAAAAUGAUUUCUUGAGCAGACUUUUCUUCUGAAGUUGCUUAACCAGAUUUACCAGCAUGACCUGUGUUAUGCUAUUCAUGUCUGGACAAAAGUGCCUGUGACUGUGGCCUUUCUUUAGUAUCCAUCAAAAUGUUGUGUGCUCCCACCUCACUCAAUAUUUUGACAGUAAAGUAGCUGUGCAGCUUUCUGUUUAGAUCUGGACUAUGUUCACCUUUAUUGAUGAGACCCUGGCACAUUCCCAGCAAAAUUAGAUUGUUUAGAAUACAGAACAUUCUGGAAUAGAUCUAAUGUGCCUGGGUUAAUUUUAUAUCCAACUGCGCAUAAAAUGGCUGAUUCUAGUAUUCAAGGGGAAAAGAUGAGAUUAAAGAAUUGAUCUAAUCUGCAUUGUAGUUUGUUAAAAAACAUCACUUAUUUUAAUGGGCCUAAACAUGCACGUUGCCUGGAGUUCAAAGGAAAAUGAGAUCCAAGCAAAAGGUAUAAAAAAUGUGGAGAACACAUUGCAUAGUAAACAAUCCCAUGAGCUCAUGCUGUGCCCUUUCUUUGCCUGUCUUUGAUGU